UAUUAUAUUGUUUUUUUUGUGUGGUUUGUCAGAGUUCAUGCAGAUGCUCGCUGUUUUGAGUCGUCAUCGUGAUGCGAUUGUUGUGUAAUGUUUCAUGUUAAUGUUAUUUUUGCAUUUUUCAUGCAAGCACAAACGUCUCCAAUAUAACAUCAGCACAGUCAAGCAGCAGCCACGGUUGUUGACGAGGCUGAGGGUGCGUCACAAGGUGGCGUAACAGCAUUCACAGAACUCGCAGUUCAUUCCAGAUAACAGUAUUUUUUAACAGUAACGGCUGAAAACAGGUUUACUGUAAGCAGUGAAUGUCUCAGGCAAUGAAGAACACACACCAACUAGUAAAACAUACAUGGAAAUGAUUGAAACGUUUAAAAAAUACACCACAAUCGGAUCAAUAACAGGACACGUCAACAGUUGCUGCUUCCUGUCCAGGACUCCCAGUCUGUUAGGGACUCAAACCAGCACCCAACCAGCUCCUCUAACCUGAGGGAUUCUUCCAUAACUCAUAUCUAAAAUCUCUGAGCUCUGACAUGUCUCAGACGACAUGAGCUGAGUUAGUGUUGAAAUUUACUUGUUUCAACUUGCAGCACCAGACGGCAGCAGAGAUAAACGACCAAAGCUGGCAGUGAACGACUUCUCAAGGGUUCAGUCUGUUCUUCCUGACUGUCAGCUGCUGAUAACGUCGACCACGGAUGAGCAUUUAUCCUGAACUGCUGCUGUGUACGGAGGGGGUCGUGUUAAAGGGUAACUACACCCCCAAAUUUUGCUAGAACCCUUCCUCCAGGCAUUUUUAAAUAAUGCAACAGAGGAGUGAGGGAGCCACGACUGUAGGACAACUGCAACAACGGUCUCCAUCCUGAGACCUCGCUGUUAGUGGACAGCAACAAGGAAGUAACUGCAAUUAAACAGUAAAAAUGAGCUCUGAAUUAUUUCCACAGGAACACUGCUUGUUAAUUAGAUUUCCUUACAACUGCAGGCUAUACAAACAACACACACACCCCACCCUGUGAGGCAGGCGUGGGGCUUCCUCUGUUAACAACAACAUACUCCCUCUCUUAGGAGACAGGAAGUGAUCUCAUCAGGGUCAUGAGGUGAGUCAAGGUGCGACCUUUGACCUCUAGAAGAGAAGAAGAAUGCUGGAGGGAAGAGUCUGCGUUUUCUUCACCCAAAACCUGAAUCAGCAACAUUUCAGAUGCAAAUCAGGAGAAAACUUCUGCAGUGAAUGAAUAUGUUUCACAUUAAAAGCCUUCCAGCAGUUCAAAGGGCAUCAUUUUAAGACUUCUGGACGAAGUAGCUUCACAACGGUCGGAAAAAUGGCAGAGUAGAAGCGACUGGAAAUAACUGCAGCAGUUUGAAUGUGGCCUGUCCUCCUUCCAGGUCUUCCAGGUCUCUGUGGUGGAGAGGAGGUGCUGUGGCUCAGUUCCUACUUAGUGGGCGACACCUGAAGCUGCUCAAUUGUCCUCCUGGAUCCAUCCUCUUCACUUGUGUUUUACAAUCUACAUUUUCUCAUCAUAAUUGUAUAUUUUCAUGUAUGACUUUCUGUUGUGAAUCUAAUCUGUACAAACAACAUCUAUUUCCUGUCUGUCCGUCCUGGGAGAGGGCGGAAAGCUCUUCCUGAGCUUUCUUUCAUUAUUUUCACUGUUAAAAAAGGUUUUUUUGGGGGGGGGGAGUUUUUCCUGAUCCGAAUCGAGGGUCUAAGGACAGAGGGUGUUGUACGCUGUACAAACUAAUCUGAGAGUCGGAGCCAUCUAGGCUGGGGAAUAAGGUCGCCGAGGGCGCUCCACUCGGGGUACACUCAGAGUCCGGCACGGUAGCGGGGCGUCUGCCGAAGCGGGUUGAGAGGGAGGUUCACACCUUGGAGCUCUUCCCCUCCGGCCUCUCCGUGAGCCCGCCCAGCAUCACGCCGGCCAGACUGGAGCCCGGCCCCUGACCAGCUCCGCACUCGCCCGCUCCGGGCCGUGACCGCUGCCGCAGCGGGCUGAUCCCCAGCAUCUGCACCUGCACACCCCCGCUCUCGAGCACCGCGUCUCCCGCCCUUCUCUUCCCCGCUCACGUCGCUCGCCACGUCGGCCGUAUCCGACUGAGAUGUUGCUUCGGUCAUUCUCGCUCUCAUUACAAGCGCAGUCAUCAGUGGGGUUUCGGCACAAGCCACAUUUGCUUUAGCAUUACUUUCUCUUAGAUAACGUCCCUGUAAACUGUAAAUUCAUUGGUUGUUACACUGCUGCCGUGUUACAGUUUCAACAGACUAGAGUGAAUGAAAAAAGAAUGAACGGAUUAUUACUGAAUCAUAUUUAAUAACAGCAACUAAAUUAAACUGUAUGAAAUUAAUUUACAUGUUUCAUAAACUGUAUGAAGUGAAUUGUCAAUAUGAAUGAAUAUGAAUUGUGUUAAAGUUUAAAAAAAUGAAAUAAAAAAGAAAUUUCUGUGAACCUGUUUUGACUCAAAGAGUCAGAAUUGAUGAGCAGAAUCAUUAAUAACCAAAUGAUAGCAAACCCAACCUCCGUGGCACUGCAUCAAACAAUACAUGACAUGAAAUCCAGAUCCAAUCACAGACUGGAGACGUCGUUUCCAUGACAGCGGAUGUAAUGAAAGUGUAAGUUUACUGUGUUAUAAGUGGCUUGUUGAAGUGCACAGAGACAACACGUGAGCAGCGAUGCGGACUGUGACCUCAGAUUGUUGCACAAAGACUUGUACAGUACAAACACUCAGACGCAGCGCAGAAAUGUGGAGGCUGAGCAGCUGAGACACAAGAAUGUUUCCUGCCUACUCAUUAACACAGAGCUCUGUCAUCUACCAACACUACAAAUCUACCAACACUACAAAUCUACCAACACUACAAA